UUUCGAGGUCCAGAAGUAGCGAGGAGCAUUUUUAGUAAGCAAUAUUGGUUCCCUACCUAUUGGGUCGGUGAUGGCGUGAUACAUAAACGUCUCUUUCCAUGAUCGUGGUGGACUGAAAAAUAUAUAUCCGCAAUCCGAGCCACGCUUGUUUUCGAGCUGGAGCUCAACUGUCAACGAAAAAGACUAUCGCGGUUGACUAUUUUCGACAAAUAAGAAGGAGAUGAAAGUCUACACUAGAUUGAAUAAUAAAAUGCCCUGACGUUUGUCUGCACUGAUAAUGAGAAGAUUCAUGAAGAUCUCGUCGGGUGCCGAGGCGGUCUUCCCGAAGUGCUUAGUAUGAGUAAAACAACACUACGGCAUACAUUUACUGAGGUACUUUCGAUAGAGGCAUCAGAUUAAUGACAUACCUGCAGAGAACCAUCUACAAACCGAGUGAUAUAGCCCUGAUUCACAGCCAGCCCUAAUACCUGAACCGGCCAUGUUGAUUAUUGGCAACGACAUAACAAACUCCUGGUCCAGAGUGGCAAAAUCUGGCAGCAUACACCACAAAUGAAUCAAACCGAUGCAUCUUCUACAUUACGAGGAAUGGAGGGGAAAAGGGGUGGUUAUAACGUCAUUAAAGCAUGGAUAAUAGAUGCAAUUCCAUAAAGAUCGUCAAGUUGAUCCCGAUGAUGGCGAUGAAAAAGUAGCGUGAAAAGUCGAUCUUCGGCAGCGGCCUGAGACAUAACAUAUUGCAUGAUGUAUACAUUCCUCGACGGUGGGAGGAAGAGCAUGUACUAUGCACCAUGUAUGUAUGAUGUGACCCUGAAGGCACUGUAGGUACCAGGUACCCUGCGAACAUCAUUCCAAUGCUCCCUGCCCAGCGAAAGAAGAAGAAGAAGAAGAAGAAGAAGAAGAAGAAGAAGAAGCGACGAGCCUUGGAAGGUGAAAUAAAGUAUGACAGCUCAACCGACCAGACUCUAUUUCUAGUGAAGAUGCAAGGGGUAAUCAAUACUUCUAUUAUCUCGUGAUACUUGAGGACUUUUGAGGGCUGUAGAUAUGUCAUGUGCUCAUAUUCCCUUGCUGAAUUGCCAUGUUGCAAUAGAACGAUCACCUAUGUAGGUUGAAAGACGUUAUGAAUUAGUUACGUACCUCCGUACAUAAAGUUGUUCGUGGGUUUCACAACGUCCGGGGUGAGAUCUAUAGAUGUUUCACACCUGGCAAUGCUGCUCGACCUGAAUAAUCGGUAGUGUACUACGUAGUAGUAGUACGUGCUUGAAACUAUGGUGUGUACAACUAAUUUUUGUCUACUACGAGUACUACCAACGUUGUCUCAUGUUUAUUGUACAUACCCAUUAAUGAAGUCGAUGAUAAACAUUAUCAAACGGCAAGACUGGGACCGGCUAGUAUCAUCUGAUAACUAACCAGUUCAGUUGACUUGCAUUAGUGCUCUGUAGUACAUAGUACUCUGUACGUGGGCCAAACAAAUAAGCUAAAUGAUAAAUGUACACUUGUUCUUUCUUCUUUUUUUUUUUGUGUAUAUGUAUGUAGGUCAUGGCGUGGUCACGGAUAGAUGAAAAUCUCUGCUUGAAUCAGACACUAAGUUGGACUAUAACCUGUAACUAGUUUCAAUAGAAUAAUUAAUGUGGUUUAUGAUAGAGAGAGUUUAAUAUGAGACAGGCAUCACGCGACGCUUCUCAAAUGGUCAAUCUAUGCCGUUUUGGGAAAAUUGAAAUCAACACUAAACAGGACCCAAAAGUCAGAAAGUCAUCAUCAUCAACUCUCAACACGAAGCUAGAACCUGGAAAUUCAUGAUCUGCGCAUACCCUAGGGAACAAGAAGUGAAGACGAUUUUUUUUUUUUUUUUUUUUUUUUCGUUCCUGACUUUUCAAGAUACUAUGUAGUAGUAGUAUACGUAGCACGGUGGUAGAUCAGAAUCAAGGUACAUAACCACCAAUGUCGAUGCUGGUUGGCUCGUGUAAGGAGCGGUCUGGAGACGCUUAUGCAGAACAAGCGCACUUUCAAGGAUGUACUAGACUAGGCGUUGGUUCCAGGUACGUGCCUGGCUGACUAGACUUGAAGGAUGUUAGUUGGGUAGUAAUCAGGGACUAGAUGACUGCACAUAAUCAGAUGGUAGCUUCAUUAACUUAAUGGAGGAAGCAUGAAGCGUGCGUGGCUUGAGGCACUUGGAAUCAAUUGACUAUGUGGAACUACGUAUAUCAGCCGUGCCGAGGGUCUUGGGCAGGACACUUCAAACAUGGCCGUGUCGGGUCUGCAAACCUAGCUCAAAUCCGCACGUAGGGUGGCAGGUCUUUGUUGCUCUUGUUGUUCUUGUGUGUUGGUUGUUUGUUGUUUGUACCUGAUACUCCCAGUAUCCGUCUUCGUGCAGCUGCAUACAACUGGGUGGAAGUGUGUUUCGGCAGAUAGCCCAGCGCCAAUCAUCAAGUACCACAAUGCUGGGUGGCUAAUGGAGAGAGAUUGGAGACUGUCCUGACGUGAACGUCUAUCCUACGUAUGUUCUGGACAAUUACUACGUCGACCAAAAUUGGAGUAGCGUUGGCAUUGGAGGGGGGCAAAUCUGCCAGAUUGGUCGACCUAUUCCUCAAUAAGCUUCGACUUGAUUGCUAUGCAUGCAAUAUGCAUGCACUGUACCAUAGGUGAAAGUAUGUGGUGCUGGAUUGACUCCAAAGUGUGUUGUGUUUCGCUGCAUGACCUGGCUUGUGCUCCACAUCCAGCCCACUGAUUGGCAGCUAACCUACCGUACAGGAUCCGAGCACACUGACCCCCCUCAACCAUGAUUGCAUAACCCGAUUUGCACACUUUCCAUUGGCCGUCUCUCGACGGAGUCUGCAUCUCAAGUCUCAACUUUCAAGCUUUCCUCUUUUCUCUCCGGCUGCAUUCGGAUUCGUCUCAUCUUGAGACUCUGAAAUUGGGGUGGACUGACAGUUCAGCCAACCAGAACGAGCCCAGUCCCACUUAUUGAUUUCACUAGUCUGGAUUUGUCUGCAUGCAAAGGUAGGCGCCCGCUUUCCUGUCUUCAGGCCAGUCAGGAACAAUCGUCGGCCUCCAUAUGCAUUCUUUAUUAUUGUCCCUGAUUCGACAAUUGCCUGCAUGUUAAAUGUCGGCGUUUAAGUUUAACAAAGAGAGAUACGUAUGCUACGCACUAAAAUGACAGGAAGAGAGUACGGGAGAUAUGUUGAUCAAAGCUUUCCCCAUACAAAUCGUGGCAGUCAUCAAAAGGCGGUGGAUAAGAUAACAGGUUUGAAGGGUCUCAAUUUCCAAGACUCAAAGGGACCAUGCGUGAUAAGUCGAUAACGAAUGAAUGGUACUUGGCACGUUGGCAGCAACCAAAGUUUCGAAAGGCACGCCUUCUCCUGAUCCGUUGAUAACCCGUUAUCAACUGAUAGAAUCCAAAGCCGACGAUCGAAAUGCAGAAUGAUCAUCGUGGUUGUCUGUGACUGUUGCUAAGAGGCGUGCAAAUGGAUUGUGAUGGACCAAUGACAUAUCGGCCCAUUCUUCGGUUGAUAACAACCAGCAUACUCACAACUACCUACUCCGUACCAUCAUGCCAUGUAGUCUACGUAGGAACUUACGUACUCAUAGAAGAUGUUUGAUUGUUUGAUUGCUGAGAUAACUAAGAGACACGUACUGACUCACUCACCAAGGCUCCAAGAUUUAAGAAUAGACCAGCUGACUCACUGAUUGGUGGAGUGUGGCGCUGCCAUCUGGAAGCUUCUGGCUGAGCGCAGACACCAGCCGUCAUUUCCGUCGAGUUACGAUUCCACGAUUAGAAACGGUAACGUAAACUUGAGGUGCGAAUUGUGCAAUCAUUGAUGAGAAAGUAUGUUGAAAACAUAAAAUUGCGUGACAACCGUGCUACAUGCUCCGUGCUUUUUCUUUGGGGGGGGGGGGGGUUUCUGUCAGAGCCUAAGAGAAGAAUGGAGAGCUGCCCAGGACUGACCAGUGAUGCUGCGUCAAGUUUGACAAUACGCAGCGCAAGGUCUACAUAGAGUUCAGCUGAGAUUUACAGAACAAAACGGUAUUUAUCGUAUGUUCACAUAACUGAAGUGACUCCCAGGCGGGAGGCAAAACCGCCGACCGCCUGUUCCCACGGUUCGCUGGAGUGGGCAGAGCCACCCACGAGGCAUGCCCUUGACCACAAUGGUCCUAGUCGGCGUAUGGCGACACACUCAAGAGUCGGUCGAUAGGCUUUGCAUUGUUUGCAAGUACGUACGCAAUUGCCAAUUAAGUUAUGUGGCCGUAACAAAACCGUACCAGAACGGGUCCACCGGCCACUCCCUGCAUCUGUGAUUGGCCGACAACUGCGUCAUGACCAAGGCGUGACGCAGUGACCGAUCUGCUGUUUCUCCGUCGUUCGCUGGUCUUCGGCUGAUUGAAACCUUCGUUUCCCCAGCGUAAUUGAAUGCGGUUAGUCGCUGAGCAUCUCGUGCUUGCCCUCCCUUCCAGCUCUUAUCGCCGUCCGUAGUUUUAUCUCCUCGUC
rnacentral:lncRNA from 1 species